UACGGGGGGAACAAGCGUUGUUCGGAUUCACUGGGCGUAAAGGGCGUGUAGGCGGAUUUGCAAGUCAGAUGUGAAAACCGGCGGCUCAACCACCGGCCUGCAUCUGAUACUGCUAAUCUCGAGUACGGUAGAGGAAAGUGGAAUUCCAGGUGUAGCGGUGACAUGCGUAGAUAUCUGGAAGAACACCGGUGGCGAAGGCGGCUUUCUGGACCGAUACUGACGCUGAGGCGCGAAAGCCAGGGGAGCAAACAGGAUUAGAUACCCGGGUAGUCCUGGCCGUAAACGAUGGGUACUAGGUGUUGGAGGUAUCGACCCCUUCAGUGCCGCAGCAAACGCAUUAAGUACCCCGCCUGGGGAGUACGAUCGCAAGGUUGAA
rnacentral:rRNA from 1 species